AUGUCAGUUUUCACUUAACAUAUUAUAUAUUCAGUUCUGAUAUUCAAAUGGUAUCAUCCUACUUGCGUUUCGGAAAAUAUAUACAGUCUAAGGCCCUGUUCGUUUCAUCAGUAAGAUGGAUCAUUUGGAUGGAGAUGAGUUUUGAUGUUCGUUUGGUGCCAAAAACGGUUCAUUCAGAUGAUCCAUCCAAAUGAAUCAUCUGGAUGAGUUUGAAAAUUUAGGCUAAAUUUUGAAACUCAUUUGGCUGAACUAAAUUGGAUCAUUUGGAUGGAGAUGAUUCAAUCUAAAAUAACAAAUGACAAAAAUACCCUAAUUAUUUCAAUUGAUUAUUUAUAUGUAUUUUUAGAUAAAAUAAAUAAAUAGAUUUAAAUCUUAUUUUACAAUUAUUUUUUAAA
rnacentral:sRNA from 1 species